GUUGGGUCCAGUUGGUUCCAGUUGGUUCCAGUUGGUUUUUCCAGUUGGGUCCGGUUGGGUCCAGUUGGUUCCAGUUGGGUCCGGUUGGGUCCAGUUGGGUCCAGUUGAUCCCAGUUGGUUCCAGUGGGUUCUUCCAGUUGGAACCAGUUGGGUCCAGUUGGUCCCAGUAAGAACCAGUUGGGUCUGGUUGAUUCUUCCAGUUGGGUCCGGUUGGUUCCAGUUGGGUCCAGUUGGUUCCAGUUGGUUCCAGUAAGAACCAGUUGAGCCCAGUCACUCCCAGUUGGUUCCAGUUGUUGGUUCCAGUUGGGUCCAGUUGGUCCCAGUUGGUUCCAGUUGGGCCCAGUUGAUCCCAGUUGGUUCUUCCAGUUGGUCCCAGUUGGUUCCCAUUGGCUCCAGUCAGUCCCAGUUGGUCCCAGUUGGUCCCAGUCUGGCCCAGUUGGUUCCGAUCCGGUCCCAGUUCCCCCCAGUCCGUCCCAGUUUGGCCCAGUUGGCUUUUGACUGGUCCCGUCCCAGUUUGAACCGGUGCCUUCCUGGCCUGGAGCAGCGCGCUGGUGCUCUCCCAGUUCAUCCCAGUUCAUCCCAGUUCAAUCCCAUUCAAUCCCAGUUCAUCCCAGUCCCUCCCAGUUCAUUCCCAGUCCAUCCCAGUCCCUCCCAGUCCCCCCAAAUUCCCUCCCAGUCCCUCCCAGUCCCUCCCAGUGCCUUCCAGUCUGGCCCAGGCCCUCCCAGUGCCUUCCCCCACCCCCAAUAAAGGCGUGGCCAGUCGAUGA